UCACUUUACACAUUUAAAAAAAAGAACAAACUGAAGCCCAAUCCUAAUGCCAUGCUGAAAUGUACAGCAUUUAAACAUCAUAACCAUUCACACAAUUGAUCUUACUUAUCCAAACAACAACUAGAUUUCACUUUCAGUUUUUCAUCAGAAUACUUAACCAUUUGAAAAUACACAGCCUGCUUUUAAUAAAAAUACAAGAGCAUGCCUCUUCUCUUUUCAAAACAAAACUGCAUCACCUAAGUUCACAUAAGCACCCCUCAACUACACGCUAAUUACAAACUAAACAGGUAUUACUUCAAUGUUGAAAUCCAAAUAAAAUUCCCUUAUAAUCCCUUUCAUAUGUUCAAUUAUUCACUACCAAUGCUCAUAUGGCCAACUUCUGAACCUAAUACUUAACAUCAAACCAACAGUACCAAAACACAAUCAAACAUAUCUAGCAAAACCUUAUCAAUUCACAACUCAAAACAUGUUUGACUCAAUUACUUAUUCACCUUACAAGUGCUUCAGUAAUGACAAAAUAGCGAACAUAUAACACAUGGUAAGACUAGAUAAAUAUAAAAUCAAAUAAUACAAAAUAGAUUGCAAUGAAAUAUUGUAUCAUCAAACGUCCUCAUUUUCAAUUUCAACAUGUCAUUUGAGGUCCAAAGCAUACCUGAAUACAGCAAAAUAACAAAGGAAAUAAAUUUGGAGCUUAAGAAGAAACAGCAACAGUAAUUCAGCUAAAGAGGAAGCAACAACAGUAACUUCAGCAAAACCAAACAGCAACAAAAUCAGCAAAUCAGCCUCAAACUCUUGAACCAACUCCAAACAUUUGAACCCAGAUUCACUAUUCUAUUGAACUUUUAGAAAUUCUGACUUAUCAAAGGGAAUUCAAACCCAAAAAUUAAGCAAAAUUCAAGCAAUUUUCAGUACUUUGAACUUGAAAGAAAACUUAGUCGUUUUUAAAGUUUCAGUGCUUUUUCCUCUCUCCCCCUCUGGCUUGAUUAGGAAAUAACACCCUUUUAUAGAGAAACUCUAGGGCAGCAGAAAUGAUCUUAGUUUUUUGCCCAUUGCUCUUUUUCGAAUUUUUGUUUUUGCUAGUGAAUCCUUAAUUUUAAAAUUUGUUUGCUAGGUCAGUCCCUAACCCACCUUCCUAGAAAUUUCCUAAGUCAGUUACUAAAGAUUCCCCGUGAUUAAAUUCUUAAACUAACCUUUCAAACUCUUGACAAUUACCAUCAAACCAACCUGGGUCAAGUUGACCCAAGACAAACACUGAUUAAAAAAAUGAAAAAGUAAUAAAGGAAAAGAACAGAGGAGACAUAAAGAGAUGGAGAUGGAAGAAGAAUAAAAGAAACAGAAAGAACAAAAGAAAGAGAGUACCUACAGAAGACCGAAAAUGGUCAUGGAUAGAAAGAACUCGGAUGUGUCGAUUUUGAGCAGAACAUGGCCUCAAUCAUGUGUUCUUGUCAAGAACAGACGAGCAAGGCCAGCUUCAACUCCUAAUCUCUUGUCAAAACUUAAAAAAUUCGAGGGAUUUCUUGUUUUCCUCUUCUGCAUUUUCAAAUCCAAAAACGGCUCCGUUUGGUUAUGAUUUUUGGGAUAUUAGUAAUGGAUUGGGGAUCAGGGGUGAGUGAGGGUCUUGGGGUGAGAAUUUGGUGGUGGUUCGAGGUGGCGCCGCCGGCUAGAGAUGGUGGAGAAUUCAGGGCGGCACUAGGGUUCAUGGAGAAGAUGAGAGAACUGAAAAGGGGUGUUUGGAACUAUCGUUGUCUUUGGAGGGGUUGGACAUUUUUAUAUAAUUGUGA
rnacentral:lncRNA from 1 species